AACGGCCAUACCAUGCUGAAUAUACCGGUUCUCGUUAGAUCACCGAAGUCAAGCAUCAUUGGGCGCGAUCAGUACUUGGGUGGGUGACCACCUGGGAUGGGAACACUGCGUGCCG